AGUUUGUAUCUUUUGACAGAUACGCGUAUUUCGAACUCAACUGUAAGGUCGAAAUACGCGUAUCUGUCAAAAGAUACAAACUA
rnacentral:pre_miRNA from 1 species